rnacentral:rRNA from 1 species
UUGGAGGGCAAGUCUGGUGCCAGCAGCCGCGGUAAUUCCAGCUCCAAUAGCGUAUAUUAAAGUUGUUGCAGUUAAAAAGCUCGUAGUUGAAUUUCGGGGUCAGUAGGUUGGUCAUGCCACUGGUAUGUACUGGUCUCACUGAUUCCUCCUUCCUGAUGAGCCGUAAUGCCAUUAAUUUGGUGUUGCGAGGAAUCUGGACUGUUACUUUGAAAAAAUUAGAGUGUUUAAAGCAGGCUAACGCUUGAAUACAUUAGCAUGGAAUAAUGAAAUAGGACGUUCGAUCUUAUUUUGUUGGCUUCUAAGAUUGACGUAAUGAUUAAUAGGGAUAGUUGGGGGCAUUAGUAUUCAAUUGUCAGAGGUGAAAUUCUUGGAUUUAUUGAAGACUAACUACUGCGAAAGCAUUUGCCAAGGAUGUUUUCAUUAAUCAAGAACGAAAGUUAGGGGAUCGAAGACGAUCAGAUACCGUCGUAGUCUUAACCAUAAACUAUGCCGACUAGGGAUCGGAUGAUGUUAAUUUUUUAAUGACUCAUUCGGCGCCUUACGGGAAAC